rnacentral:rRNA from 1 species
AAAGGCGUAGUGGAAGGACAACAGGUUGAUAUUCCUGUACCACCGUAAGCCGUUAUGAGCAAUGGGGUGACACAGAAGGGCAGUGACGCGGACUGAUGGAAUAGUCCGUCCAAGCAGUGAGGCUAGUUGGUAGGCAAAUCCGCCAACUAUUAGGCUGGGCUGUGAUGGGGAGCGAAAAUUGCAGUAGCGAAGGUCAUGUACUCCGGCUGUCGAGAAAAGCCUCUAGCCAGGCGAAGGUGCCCGUACCGCAAACCGACACAGGUAGGCGAGCA